rnacentral:rRNA from 1 species
AACGAACGCUGGCGGCAUGCCUAACACAUGCAAGUCGAACGAGACCUUCGGGUCUAGUGGCGCACGGGUGCGUAACGCGUGGGAACCUGCCCUUAGGUUCGGAAUAGCUCCCCGAAAGGGGUGCUAAUACCGGAUAAUGUCUUCGGACCAAAGAUUUAUCGCCUUUGGAUGGGCCCGCGUUGGAUUAGCUAGUUGGUAGGGUAAAAGCCUACCAAGGCGACGAUCCAUAGCUGGUCUGAGAGGAUGAUCAGCCACACUGGGACUGAGACACGGCCCAGAAUCCUACGGGAGGCAGCAGUGGGGAAUAUUGUACAAGGGGCGAAAGCCUGAUCCAGCAAUGCCGCGUGAGUGAUGAAGGCCUUAGGGUUGUAAAGCUCUUUUACCCGGGAUGAUAAUGACAGUACCGGGAGAAUAAGCGCCGGCUAACUCCGUG